GACGAACGCUGGCGGCGUGCUUAACACAUGCCAGUCGAACGAAGAGCGAUGGAAGCUUGCUUCUAUCAAUCUUAGUGGCGAACGGGUGAGUAACGCGUAAUCAACCUGCCCUUCAGAGGGGGACAACAGUUGGAAACGACUGCUAAUACCGCAUACGAUCUAAUCUCGGCAUCGAGGAUAGAUGAAAGGUGGCCUCUACAUGUAAGCUAUCACUGAAGGAGGGGAUUGCGUCUGAUUAGCUAGUUGGAGGGGUAACGGCCCACCAAGGCGAUGAUCAGUAGCCGGUCUGAGAGGAUGAACGGCCACAUUGGGACUGAGACACGGCCCAGACUCCUACGGGAGGCAGCAGUGGGGAAUCUUCCGCAAUGGACGAAAGUCUGACGGAGCAACGCCGCGUGAGCGAUGACGGCCUUCGGGUUGUAAAGCUCUGUUAAUCGGGACGAAAGGCCUUCUUGCGAAUAGUGAGAAGGAUUGACGGUACCGGAAUAGAAAGCCACGGCUAACUACGUG
rnacentral:rRNA from 1 species